CGAACUCCCAUUUCAAUUCUCUCUCUCUCUCUCUCUCGUUCUAAACUUAGUUUCUCUCACUCUCUGUCUCUCUCUCUCUCUCUCUCUCUCUGAAGAAACUCAUCUCUCUGGGAAAAUCUUGAAAGACUCUUAUCGUCAAUUUCAUCUGGAUUCAGGGCAUAAAACUAGGGGAAAAUUUUGUUGCUGAUCCAGACAUUGCAAAUGAGUUAAGAAUGCAAACAUGCUGGUUUUUGUGACUUCACAUCAGUUCAUGGAAGGUAUAUGCAAGAAACUUGAGGGGAAAAUAAAGGAAGAGGGUGUUUAGGCUAUAUCACUUAUCAAAGGUAGUAUAAAGCGAAGGACCAUGCAUGAUUUCUAGCCUCAUAUCUGAAAAAUUUGGAGUGAACUGUUGUGUUCUCAUGGGAGUAAACAUCGCCAAUGAGAUAACUAUGGAGAAGUUUAGCGAAGCAACAGUUGGAUACAGAGAGGAUAAAGAGGUUGCAGAGAGAUGGGUUAAGCUAUUUGGUUCUCCCCAUUUCCAAGUAUCUGCUUGUCUAUCCAAAGCUUUGGCAGAGGAUGAGCUUGUGUACCCCAGGAUUCAGUUAAGCUCUAGGAACCUUAUAAAGAUGGCCAGAUCUCUCUUGAUAACUUUAAAAUGGUACAUUGAUGCUUUACUCUGUUGUUUGAAAUAAAAAUUCUGAUCUUUGACUCCACAUAUGGUUUUACCAGCCUACUAUACUGAUUUGUGAGGUACAGGUGGGUAGUGAAAUAGUACUUAAGAACUGAAAUCUAUUAAGCAUUUUUGUCUAUAAAUUUUUAAUCACUGUAAUUAAACUAUCUAGGCUCUUUUUAGACACACAACUGAUGCAUUGAAGGAGUGAGGGUUGCAGAAAUUUUGAAUUCGUUGGUGCAGGGAAGUGCUAAAACACUUCUAAAAUCAGCGCUCCAUGGAGCGGCUAGAAAAGGAAAAAUGCGGUACGAAGGUCUUUGCAGGAUUGACAAAAAGACUGUCUGGGUCCUGGUAGCUUUCAAAUUUUUUAAAGGCGAAGAGGAAAUAUUCCUUGGAGGAGAGGCGGAGGGAUAUCAAGUUGCAUGGGCUAAAAAUUUUGCGAUACAAGGAAGAAAGGCCAAAAUUUUUAUGAAGCGUUAAAGGAACUUGGGACUGACAUGAACCUAUACGCUUUGGUGUUUGGCGAAUCUGUUCUGAAUGAUGCAGUAUGAGAUUUUAACUUUGGCUGAUGACUGAGAUUUCCACUUUUGGAACGGAAUUUGCAACUUGAAAUUGCGUUUACAGUUUACAGUAGACUCGGCUUACUUUGUACAGAUUGUUCAGUAUAUAUUUUGAUCUGAUGUUGUAAGACUCUACAGAAAUGUGUAAUUUGGUUUGUAAUGAAUUUGAUUCAGACAUGGAAUAAAUUUAAUUCA